rnacentral:rRNA from 1 species
UCCACGCCCUAAACGAUGAACACUAGUCGUCGGGAUGCUAGUCAUCUCGAUGAUGCACUUAACAGAUUAAGUGUUCCGCCUGGGGAGUACGGUCGCAAGAUUAAAACUCAAAGGAAUAGACGGGGACCCGCACAAGUGGUGGAGCAUGUGGUUUAAUUCGAAAAUACGCGAAGAACCUUACCUAGCCUUGACAUUGAUUGAAUUUUCCAGAGAUGGAGAAGUGCCCCUGGGGAACAUGAAAACAGGUGCUGCACGGCUGUCGUCAGCUCGUGUCGUGAGAUGGUUGGG